AAGGGAUGACAAAUGGCAACAGAUGAGAGGUUGAGUACUUUAAAAUAAAAUUGCAUUGGUUUUGAAACGUUGAUUUUUAACUCAUUCCUCUUGUCUGAGAAACCAUUUCUUUCCCUGCAAGCUCUCUCCUCCUCCUAUAUCUUCUCCCUUUCCAUUCUUCACACUGAACCAUUAAAUUCUCGAUUAGGUGCUGCCCCAACGAUCACAAAGUAGCGGGUCUUGCUUUUAGUCGAUCAAUUUCUCCAAUCAGAACCGGUGAUUCUAACAUUUUGGGAGUGCAAGCAAGUGGUCUAGGGUUCCUACUUGAGCUUGGUUGUCUACACUAGAGUAGGUGAUGAUGUACCAUUGGAGCAAGCUUUGGAGGUUGAAGAAGACCCAGCCCCUAGUACUUAGGCCUUCUACUAGCUCUUAGUUGAUUAGCUUGUUAUUUUGAAAAACUCCUAGCUUUUAUUUUAUAUAGUUCGACAAUUUUGGAAAACUUUUUAGGUCUCUUUAAAAUUUC